rnacentral:rRNA from 1 species
UGGGGAAUUUUGGACAAUGGGCGAAAGCCUGAUCCAGCAAUGUCGCGUGAGUGAAGAAGGCCUUCGGGUUGUAAAGCUCUUUUGUCAGGGAAGAAACGGUGAGAGCUAAUAUCUUUUGCUAAUGACGGUACCUGAAGAAUAAGCACCGGCUAACUACGUGCCAGCAGCCGCGGUAAUACGUAGGGUGCAAGCGUUAAUCGGAAUUACUGGGCGUAAAGCGCGCGCAGGCAGUUUUGUAAGUCUGAUGUGAAAUCCCCGGGCUCAACCUGGGAAUUGCAUUGGAGACUGCAAGGCUAGAAUCUGGCAGAGGGGGGUAGAAUUCCACGUGUAGCAGUGAAAUGCGUAGAUAUGUGGAGGAACACCGAUGGCGAAGGCAGCCCCCUGGGUCAAGAUUGACGCUCAUGCACGAAAGCGUGGGGAGCAAACAGGAUUAGAUACCCUGGUAGUCCACGCCCUAAACGAUGUCUACUAGUUGUCGGGUCUUAAUUGACUUGGUAACGCAGCUAACGCGUGAAGUAGACCGCCUGGGGAGUACGGUCGCAAGAUUAAAACUCAAAUGAAUUGC